CAAUAGCGUAUAUUAAAGUUGUUGCAGUUAAAAAGCUCGUAGUUGAAUUUCUGGCGGGCGCGCCGGUCUUCCAAGUGUUGUACUGGGCGCAGUCCGCCAUCCUUGUGGAGAGGGCUCGCAUUGAGUUGCGUGUCGGAUCUGCAUCAUUUACUGUGAAAAAAUUAGAGUGUUUAAAGCAGGCUGUCGCUUGAAUACAUUAGCAUGGAAUAAUAAGAUAGGACUUCGGUCUAUUUUGUUGGUUGCGAACCGAGGUAAUGAUUAAUAGGGAUAGUUGGGGGUAUUCACAUUUAAUUGUCAGAGGUGAAAUUCUUGGAUUUAUGAAAGAUGAACAACUGCGAAAGCAUUUACCAAGGAUGUUUUCAUUAA
rnacentral:rRNA from 1 species